UACGUAGGGUGCAAGCGUUGUCCGGAAUUAUUGGGCGUAAAGAGCUCGUAGGCGGUUUGUUGCGUCGGCUGUGAAAUCCCGAGGCUCAACCUCGGGUCUGCAGUCGAUACGAGCAAACUAGAGUGUUGCAGGGGAGACUGGAAUUCCUGGUGUAGCGGUGAAAUGCGUAGAUAUCUGGAGGAACACCGGUGGCGAAGGCGGCAUCCUGGACCAAUUCUGACGCUGAGGAGCGAAAGCCAGGGGAGCAAACGGGG
rnacentral:rRNA from 1 species